GGUAAAUUGCUGUCAUCAGCUACAGGAUUAUCAGAAGGAGGCUCAUGAGAUUCAUGGUUGUUCGGAGCCAUCACCGGUUCCAACGCGCUUGGUGCCUCAAUUCAGGAAGUGAUGCAACGGGAGACUCAGUGGAUGGGUCAGGGAAUGAUGAUGCAACAGGAGACUCAGUAGAUGGCACAAAGUCAGUGGUAAUAGGAAACUCGAUAGAUUCUGUGGUAAAGAAGUCAAAGAACCAAUCUUCAUUCCAUUGCUCCCCUUGAAGAGAGGGCUUUGGGAAAUAAGGAGUGGUUUCAAAGAAUGUGACAUCAAGGCCAACAAACAUUUUCUUUGAGACAGGGUCAUAGCAUUUGUAGCCUUUCUGAGUAGUGGAGUAACCAAUGAAGACACAUUUAAUGGCACGAGGAUCCAAUUUAUCGCGAUGGUGAGCAUGAAUAUGAACAAAAGCCAUACAGCCAAAGAUUUUGAGUGGAAAUACUGGAGGGGAGUCGUGAGGUAGGAAAAUAUUCUUGGAAUUUCUGGAGAGGAGUGGCAAAGGAAAGUACUCGACUCGGCAUUCGAUUAAUGAGAUGUGUAGCUGUUAAGAUGGCAUCUCCCCAAAAAUAGUUUCUCAUGUUUGUAGUAAACAUCAAUGCUCGAGCUACUUCAAGUAUAUGUCUGUUUUUUCUUUCAACAACCCCAUUUUGUUGAGGGGUAUCCACACAAGAACUCUAAUGAACAAUUCCUUUUUCUUGAAGAUAAGUUCCCAGAACAUCAUUAAAAUAUUC